GGUUAAGCGACUAAGCGUACACGGUGGAUGCCCUGGCAGUCAGAGGCGAUGAAGGACGUGCUAAUCUGCGAUAAGCGUCGGUAAGGUGAUAUGAACCGUUAUAACCGGCGAUUUCCGAAUGGGGAAACCCAGUGUGAUUCGUCACACUAUCAUUAACUGAAUCCAUAGGUUAAUGAGGCGAACCGGGGGAACUGAAACAUCUAAGUACCCCGAGGAAAAGAAAUCAACCGAGAUUCCCCCAGUAGCGGCGAGCGAACGGGGAGCAGCCCAGAGCCUGAAUCAGUGUGUGUGUUAGUGGAAGCGUCUGGAAAGGCGCGCGAUACAGGGUGACAGCCCCGUACACAAAAAUACACAUAUUGUGAGCUCGAUGAGUAGGGCGGGACACGUGGUAUCCUGUCUGAAUAUGGGGGGACCAUCCUCCAAGGCUAAAUACUCCUGACUGACCGAUAGUGAACCAGUACCGUGAGGGAAAGGCGAAAAGAACCCCGGCGAGGGGAGUGAAAAAGAACCUGAAACCGUGUACGUACAAGCAGUGGGAGCACGCUUAGGCGUGUGACUGCGUACCUUUUGUAUAAUGGGUCAGCGACUUAUAUUCUGUAGCAAGGUUAACCGAAUAGGGGAGCCGAAGGGAAACCGAGUCUUAACUGGGCGUUAAGUUGCAGGGUAUAGACCCGAAACCCGGUGAUCUAGCCAUGGGCAGGUUGAAGGUUGGGUAACACUAACUGGAGGACCGAACCGACUAAUGUUGAAAAAUUAGCGGAUGACUUGUGGCUGGGGGUGAAAGGCCAAUCAAACCGGGAGAUAGCUGGUUCUCCCCGAAAGCUAUUUAGGUAGCGCCUCGUGAAUUCAUCUCCGGGGGUAGAGCACUGUUUCGGCAAGGGGGUCAUCCCGACUUACCAACCCGAUGCAAACUGCGAAUACCGGAGAAUGUUAUCACGGGAGACACACGGCGGGUGCUAACGUCCGUCGUGAAGAGGGAAACAACCCAGACCGCCAGCUAAGGUCCCAAAGUCAUGGUUAAGUGGGAAACGAUGUGGGAAGGCCCAGACAGCCAGGAUGUUGGCUUAGAAGCAGCCAUCAUUUAAAGAAAGCGUAAUAGCUCACUGGUCGAGUCGGCCUGCGCGGAAGAUGUAACGGGGCUAAACCAUGCACCGAAGCUGCGGCAGCGACACUAUGUGUUGUUGGGUAGGGGAGCGUUCUGUAAGCCUGCGAAGGUGUACUGUGAGGUAUGCUGGAGGUAUCAGAAGUGCGAAUGCUGACAUAAGUAACGAUAAAGCGGGUGAAAAGCCCGCUCGCCGGAAGACCAAGGGUUCCUGUCCAACGUUAAUCGGGGCAGGGUGAGUCGACCCCUAAGGCGAGGCCGAAAGGCGUAGUCGAUGGGAAACAGGUUAAUAUUCCUGUACUUGGUGUUACUGCGAAGGGGGGACGGAGAAGGCUAUGUUGGCCGGGCGACGGUUGUCCCGGUUUAAGCGUGUAGGCUGGUUUUCCAGGCAAAUCCGGAAAAUCAAGGCUGAGGCGUGAUGACGAGGCACUACGGUGCUGAAGCAACAAAUGCCCUGCUUCCAGGAAAAGCCUCUAAGCAUCAGGUAACAUCAAAUCGUACCCCAAACCGACACAGGUGGUCAGGUAGAGAAUACCAAGGCGCUUGAGAGAACUCGGGUGAAGGAACUAGGCAAAAUGGUGCCGUAACUUCGGGAGAAGGCACGCUGAUAUGUAGGUGAAGCGACUUGCUCGUGGAGCUGAAAUCAGUCGAAGAUACCAGCUGGCUGCAACUGUUUAUUAAAAACACAGCACUGUGCAAACACGAAAGUGGACGUAUACGGUGUGACGCCUGCCCGGUGCCGGAAGGUUAAUUGAUGGGGUCAGCGCAAGCGAAGCUCUUGAUCGAAGCCCCGGUAAACGGCGGCCGUAACUAUAACGGUCCUAAGGUAGCGAAAUUCCUUGUCGGGUAAGUUCCGACCUGCACGAAUGGCGUAAUGAUGGCCAGGCUGUCUCCACCCGAGACUCAGUGAAAUUGAACUCGCUGUGAAGAUGCAGUGUACCCGCGGCAAGACGGAAAGACCCCGUGAACCUUUACUAUAGCUUGACACUGAACAUUGAGCCUUGAUGUGUAGGAUAGGUGGGAGGCUUUGAAGUGUGGACGCCAGUCUGCAUGGAGCCGACCUUGAAAUACCACCCUUUAAUGUUUGAUGUUCUAACGUUGACCCGUAAUCCGGGUUGCGGACAGUGUCUGGUGGGUAGUUUGACUGGGGCGGUCUCCUCCUAAAGAGUAACGGAGGAGCACGAAGGUUGGCUAAUCCUGGUCGGACAUCAGGAGGUUAGUGCAAUGGCAUAAGCCAGCUUGACUGCGAGCGUGACGGCGCGAGCAGGUGCGAAAGCAGGUCAUAGUGAUCCGGUGGUUCUGAAUGGAAGGGCCAUCGCUCAACGGAUAAAAGGUACUCCGGGGAUAACAGGCUGAUACCGCCCAAGAGUUCAUAUCGACGGCGGUGUUUGGCACCUCGAUGUCGGCUCAUCACAUCCUGGGGCUGAAGUAGGUCCCAAGGGUAUGGCUGUUCGCCAUUUAAAGUGGUACGCGAGCUGGGUUUAGAACGUCGUGAGACAGUUCGGUCCCUAUCUGCCGUGGGCGCUGGAGAACUGAGGGGGGCUGCUCCUAGUACGAGAGGACCGGAGUGGACGCAUCACUGGUGUUCGGGUUGUCAUGCCAAUGGCACUGCCCGGUAGCUAAAUGCGGAAGAGAUAAGUGCUGAAAGCAUCUAAGCACGAAACUUGCCCCGAGAUGAGUUCUCCCUGACCCUUUAAGGGUCCUGAAGGAACGUUGAAGACGACGACGUUGAUAGGCCGGGUGUGUAAGCGCAGCGAUGCGUUGAGCUAACCGGUACUAAUGAACCGUGAGGCUUAACCUU
rnacentral:rRNA from 1 species